UCAGGCGGGCAUGAUGUGCAGUUAAGCAUAGAUGUCAUCUUUCCAGUUGCAGGGAAAGAAAGAUGGAGAAGGGCACUUAGAGAAUGGUGUUACCAACAUCUUCAACACUAAGGAUAGCUGUGGGAGAACAGCAAGGAGAAGCUGAUCAACCUUGGGGGGGAAGAAAGGUCAGCACGAACUGUUACAGAGUGACUUCUCACCAUGCUGCUUUUGAGUCAAAGGAAGUAAAUAGUCCAGAACAUCAGUACUUCUGUGGAAGAAUGAGUAAUUUUAGACAGCAGAAAAUAAAUGAGUGAUGUUUAGCUCGCUGCUCUUAGAAGAUGCAUCAUCUAGCUGAGGCACUUUUGACUGGAAAGAUUACAGCCCACAGCUCUCAUCCCAUUAGAUCUACUUCUGAGUUGCUUAUCAUUCUGCCCAAACCAUCUGACCUCAUGAGGGACACGGAGAAUCCAGCUGCCAUGUACACAGCUUUCCAGCUCACCACAAUGGAGUCGCAACUUGGAGAACUUACUGACAGGAUUGGAGCGGCCAGGACUGUUGAGAAAGAACACUGAUUAAGCCUUUGGAUUUCUAAUAAUAUGUUUAAAGGAAGCAGAUUCCACAUUCAAACACAGAAACAACAGUCAUCAAACUCUUUGAGACAAAUUCACUGAUAACAAAAACAGAAGAAUGCAAGAUUUGACAGAAUAGAUAGGGAAAUUAAUUUGGUAUGUCCAUUAUGAUACUACAGGUUUUGCAAAAUGAAUAUAACCCAUACACCAAAGCAUGAAAGGAAACAGUUUCAGUGCCUGGAGUGCAGUGACUAUUGAAAAACGGUGUAAUGUUUGAGAACUCUUGGAAGCUCUGCUACUGGUAUGACCACACAUUUGUCUUUCAAGAUGAAAGACUGUAUCAAUUAAUAUGAUAGGUACUGUGCAGAAUGUGGCUUUGUAUGCUUUUCCUGUUUUACAAGUUUUUUUUGUCAUUCCCCUCUGUAUGUUGCUGAUAGAUGCAAGUCAGUUUUGGAUUUUCCUAAUUCAAAACCAAUAUUUUCUUUCCUUCUUAUCUAAUCUCUCAUAUACUGCUGGGCUGAAAUAUUUACAGACAGGGUAAAAAAAGGGACCAGAAUCAUUCUUUAUGGCAUUUUACUAACUUCACUGGAGUUGUCCCAGCAUAGCCACAGGGCACUGCAUUCCCCAAAUGAUCUUGCUACAGGUUUGAAACAAGCUUGAAUGAACAUUAACACAAUAUAUGGGGUCUUGAAUGUUCUAGAUCAACUUUCGUCUUUUAAUGAAAAUCUUUCAGUACCUGAGAAAACACUAUUGAAAAUGACCACUAUUUAACCUAGACUGCACUAGGAGGCCUCUCUUUUAUAUUACUCUGUAGCCAAUUAGCUAUCUAAUAACCAUGAACAAGUGGAUGUUUAUACAAAGCAAUCUGAAAUAGGAUGGUGUAUCAUAAGUAUUUCUGUAUCACAGAAUCAUAGAAUAAUUUAGGUUGGAAGGGACCAUUGGAGGUCAUCUAGUCCAGCCCCCUGCUCAGAGCAGGUCUAAUCAGAUAUACAGUAACAUAACAUAUCAAAUGUUGCAGUUAAAUGCUUUUCUAAUGCCCUAUGCUACAGGCCACUCAGAAAGAGUCAUGAGUCAUGAAGUGUAGUCAGAAAAGUGACUGCAAGAGGGCGUGCUUCUUAGUUACACGCAAUUUAUGUUCAGUAAACAGGAUUUUCAUACUAGAAUCUGCAUAUAUAAAGCAAGCCUAUGUGUUGCAAGACUACAAAGGACUCGAAGAGAAAAAUGAAGGUAAAAUGAAGAUGUAUCCCACCUAAAAUCAGGAAAAGGAAUUAAAAAGUAUCUGGGAUAUCAGUAUGCACCUUGAGGCAUACAUGCCUUGAUAGCAAGGCAGCUAACUUGGGAUUUCAGAGAUCUCUGCUAGUGUCACAAGCAUUACCUCUGCUGUUUUAGACCCAAACAUUUUCUCUUUUAGCUGUACUCAAACACCUUCUUUUGCCCCAUUUGUGAAAAUGGUAAUACGUAUUCUGUAUGACCAUACCUACAAAAUGUUUGCAGAUUUGUCUCUUACUAUCUUUAGGACAGUUGUCAGCUACUACACUAUGAUUUUUUUUCCUUUUAAAAUACUAUCUUUAAUAACAAUUCAUAAAAAAUUCUACACAGGAAACCUUUAUGCAAGCCUAAGGGAGUUCUUUGCCCAAAGGCAAGGUAGAGAAUAUAUAGCACUUGAUUUGUAUCAGAAUUAAAUUACAGAAUAUUAAUGUAUUAUAUCAGUUUUCUCAUGAGUAAGCUAGCAAGAGAGGUAUUUUUAAACUUAUCAGGAUAGACAUUGAUAUUUUAAAAUUUUUAUUGCAAUUCAAUUACUCCUUUUAGAAGAUACAAAUUUACUGGAAAAAUAUUGUCUACUUAGAAAACAUGUCAGUUAAAGUAUUUAAAAAAUGGAAUUUCAACAAUAUUUUUUCAACUGCAUUUCAGUGAUGAAACAAAAAAGAAGGACUUUGGGUUAUGUAGAUUCUCCUGUGAUAUCCAUCAAUGACUUAUAUGUUACAGUCAUUUUGCUAUGAAACCAAAAUACCAUUUAUCACUGUCAUUACUGAAAAAUGUAUAUAGAUUCACAUCUGCAUCUGUAAUGAAAACCAGGGUAGAUGAUUCAGAAAGCUGCAGUCUGAUUGUGUGAGCAGUGAAUGGCAGGUCAGGGAAACACGUAUACACAUAUGUAUUUAAAAAAACAGAGAGGAGAAAGAGCUAAUUAUGCCAAUACUGAACUCAGUAGAUGAACAAGCAAAAGGCUUCAACAAACAUGGCAGCUAUCCUUAAAAGUACAAUGAAAUAUCCGGGAUGAAAUCCCAGUCCUACUGAGGUCAGUGGAAAUUAUACUGCACAAAGCCUUUCUUACUAACCUGUUGAC